GGGGGUGAUUUAGGAUUCGACAGGAUAUACGAACCCUGAGGUGCAUGCCGUGGUGCGGUAGGCCACGUAAAAAAACCGCAAACUUUACAGACGCCAACGACGAUCUGUACGUAGCUGUCGCCUAAACAGCGAUGAGCUACCUGCCUCCAAGGCCCCGCCUGCUGGCCAAGGAUCAAGGCAGUCAAACCCUGCAGGAUCGCGUGGACCCUUCGUCCGUAGGGAAAGCGUUAAAACCAAUCGGACUCGCCCUGACGAAGCCUGUUGCUCGGCGUCAGAAUGGGUUAACUAAAUGAGCGACUAAGCAUGUAGUGCCGAUGGCGUAGGUAUUCUGGACCCGGGUUCAACUCCCGGCACCUCCACCA
rnacentral:tmRNA from 1 species